rnacentral:antisense_RNA from 1 species
AUGGCUUACAUAUUCAAAAGGUGGGAUUUGGGAAGCAAUGCUAAGCAGUGGAAUGGACAUCGACAUAGAGAGAUCAGCUCCACACUUAUACUCUGCCACUCAACUUCCCCAUGUGACUUGAGGAUCACUCUGACUCCAAAACAUAGCAAGCUCGCGGAACAUCAUUCAUGCAAAGUAUUCCAAGGAGCCCCUUGAAGCAACAGAAUGGAUUUCUCUUCUAUGGUGGAAUGGCACCCUGGAUGAUUAAAACCGUAGCAGCAAACAAAACCUCCAUCAAGUAAGAAUUCAGAGUGUGAGAUAUCACGCACAGCCACGCGUGGAUCUUUAUAUACGUGUCAAUGUGUUUGAUUGUAUUUUUGCUUUAAAAGUAUGUAUUGAGCAUUUCUUCUAGGUCCUCAGUAACAUCUUUUUUUAAAAAAAAUAAAUGCUUAGGGAAUUGUUUUAUAUUAAA